UCCCUGUUAAAGUGCCCAUUUACUAGCCACGUGUGAAUUGUUUGUUUUGGUAGUAAACCUCAUUUGAGAAGAAUAUAACUGCUAUUACUAUCAAUUUGUUUUAGUAUUAAACUAUUACUACUAAUUUGUUUUAGUAGUAAACCUCAUUAUUACCAGAAAGAGAAGAAUAUACAUCACUUUAUAAACUUGAGAAAUAACUGCUAUUACUACCAAGAUGUUUUAGUAGUAAACCUCAUUUGAGUUUGUACCUGAUUUUUUUUUCCUCCUUAUUUAGAUUGCUCAAAUUCAUUUUUUAAAAUUCCAAUAUGGUAUUAGACCUAGUUUAUUAUUGGGUCUUAUGACUGGGCAUUUAAAUUUUACCAUUAGUUAAGGGACCUCAAAAUUUUAAGUUCGAUUCUCACUUUCCCUUAGCCCCAAUAAUCAAUAAAUAAAUAAUAUUAUUCUUUACAUCAAUAGUUUCUGAUAAUUUUAAGAAGUGAAUUUAGUUUUUUCAUAUAUAAUUUACAAAAACUAAAAAAUAAUAUUAAUUCCACAGACAGACACUGCUUCAGUUCUUCAAGAGGCUUGUAUCUACAUCAAAAUAAUUCAUCAAGAAAUUCGGAGGCUAAGCAUAUCAUACUUGGAGGUUAGGACACUUCAAUCACGGCUGCAGGGUGACAUAGAGAGGCAAAUUGACUUACAAAGUAGAGGAUUAUGCU